rnacentral:rRNA from 1 species
CACGUAGGGGGCAAGCGUUGUCCGGAAUUAUUGGGCGUAAAGAGCUCGUAGGCGGCUUGUCGCGUCGUCCGUGAAAACCUGCAGCUCAACUGCAGGCUUGCGGUCGAUACGGGCAGGCUGGAGUUCGGUAGGGGAGACUGGAAUUCCUGGUGUAGCGGUGAAAUGCGCAGAUAUCAGGAGGAACACCGGUGGCGAAGGCGGGUCUCUGGGCCGAUACUGACGCUGAGGAGCGAAAGCGUGGGGAGCGAACAGG